CCUACGGGAGGCAGCAGUAGGGAAUCUUCCACAAUGGACGCAAGUCUGAUGGAGCAACGCCGCGUGAGUGAAGAAGGGUUUCGGCUUGUAAAGCUCUGUUGGUAGUGACGAAAGAUAGAGGUAGUAACUGGCCUUUAUUUGACGGUAAUUACUUACAAAGUCACGGCUAACUACGUGCGUGCAGCCGCGGUAAUACGUAGGUGGCAAGCGUUGUCCGGAUUUAUUGGGCGUAAAGCGAGUGCAGGCGGUUCAAUAAGUCAGAUGUGAAAGCCUUCGGCUCAACCGGAGAAUUGCAUCAGAAACUGUUGAUCUUGAGUGCAGAAGAGGAGAGUGGAACUCCAUGUGUAGCGGUGGAAUGCGUAGAUAUACGGAGGAACACCAGUGGCGAAGGCGGAUCGCUGGUCUGCAACUGACGCUGAGGCGCGAAAGCAUGGGGAGCGAACAGGAUUAGAUACCCUAGUAGUC
rnacentral:rRNA from 1 species